rnacentral:rRNA from 1 species
UACGUAGGGCGCAAGCGUUGUCCGGAUUUAUUGGGCGUAAAGAGCUCGUAGGCGGCUCAGUAAGUCAGGUGUGAAAACUCCAGGCUCAACCUGGAGACGCCACUUGAUACUGCUGUGGCUAGAGUCCGGUAGGGGAGCAUGGAAUUCCUGGUGUAGCGGUGAAAUGCGCAGAUAUCAGGAGGAACACCAGUGGCGAAGGCGGUGCUCUGGGCCGGAACUGACGCUGAGGAGCGAAAGCGUGGGGAGCAAACAGG